rnacentral:rRNA from 1 species
GUAACGGCUCACCAAGGCGACGAUACAUAGGGGGACUGAGAGGUCAACCCCCCACAUUGGUACUGAGACACGGACCAAACUCCUACGGGAGGCAGCAGUGAGGAAUAUUGGUCAAUGGACGCAAGUCUGAACCAGCCAUGCCGCGUGCAGGAAGACGGCUCUAUGAGUUGUAAACUGCUUUUGUACGAGGGUAAAUCCCGAUACGAGUAUCGGGUUGAAAGUAUCGUACGAAUAAGGAUCGGCUAACUCCGUGCCAGCAGCCGCGGUAAUACGGAGGAUUCAAGCGUUAUCCGGAUUUAUUGGGUUUAAAGGGUGCGUAGGCGGUUCGAUAAGUUAGAGGUGAAAUCCCGGGGCUCAACUCCGGCAUUGCCUCUGAUACUGUCGGGCUAGAGUUUAGUUGCGGUAGGCGGAAUGUAUGGUGUAGCGGUGAAAUGCAUAGAGAUCAUACAGAACACCGAUUGCGAAGGCAGCUUACCAAACUACGACUGACGUUGAGGCACGAAAGCGUGGGGAGCAAACAGGAUUAGAUACCCUGGUAGUCCACGCAGUAAACGAUGAUAACUGGUUGUCGGCGAUAUAAUGUCG